CCGCGUGAGUGAUGAACGGCCGUAGGGUUAGUAAAGCUCUUUUGUGCGGGAAGAUAAUGACGGUACCGCAAGAAUAAGCCCGGCUAACUUCGUGC
rnacentral:rRNA from 1 species